rnacentral:rRNA from 1 species
CGCAUCUGUGCAUGCAGCAUAUCAAUAAGCGGAGGAAAAGAAACUAACAAGGAUUCCCUUAGUAACGGCGAGUGAAGCGGGAAGAGCUCAAAUUUGAAAUCUUCAAGGUCUUACCUUGACGAAUUGUAGUUUAAAGAAGUGUUUUCUGUUGAAGUUUUGGUAAAUGUUCUUUGGAAUAGGACAUCAUAGAGGGUGAGAAUCCCGUAUUUGACCAUUAUUUUCAGCUGUGUGAUACACUUUCAAAGAGUCGGAUUGUUUGGGAAUGCAGUCCAAAAUGGGUGGUAAAUUUCAUCUAAAGCUAAAUAUUGGCGAGAGACCGAUAGCGAACAAGUACCGUGAGGGAAAGAUGAAAAGAACUUUGAAAAGAGAGUUAAACAGUACGUGAAAUUGUCAAAAGGGAAGCGUUUGACACCAGUGUUGUUUUCUCGAAAAUCAAUUAAAAAGAGUUAGAUUUUGUUGUGUAUUGACCUUAACAGCUUGCAUUUCAAUUUUCUUGCUUUUUUAAUGCACUUUUCGUUUAACAAGUCAACAUCAGUUUCUUUUGUUGUAAAAAGGUCAUUGGAAGGUGGCUUUCUUUCGGAGAAAGUGUUUAUAGCCUUUGACUCCUGCAAUCGGAGAGACUGAGGUCUGCAGCGUAGAUCCUUCGGGGUUAGAUACAUUUGUGCUAAGUUAUAGCUUUCUAUAGACAACUUGUUGACUAUGAUUAGUCUUGUAGCUUACUCGCUUAUGCUAUUUUACCUACGCUUAGGAUGUUGACACACGCGCGUGCUCG